GAUGAACGCUAGCGGGAGGCCUAACACAUGCAAGCCGAGCGGUAUUUCUUCUUCGGGAGAGAGAGCGGCGUACGGGUGCGGAACACGUGUGCAACCUGCCUUUAUCUAGAGGAUAGCCUUUCGAAAGGAAGAUUAAUACUCUAUAAUAUAUUAAUUGGCAUCAAUUGAUAUUGAAAACUCCGGUGGAUAGAGAUGGGCACGCGCAAGAUUAGCUAGUUGGUGAGGUAACGGCUCAACAAGGCAAUGAUCUUUAGGGGGCCUGAGAGGGUGAUCCCCCACAAUGGUAGAUAGACACGGCCCAAACUCCUACGGGAGGCAGCAGUGAGGAAUAUUGGUCAAUGGGUGGAAGCCUGAACCAGCCAUCCGGCGUGAAGGAUUAAGGUCCUAUGGAUUGUAAACUUCUUUUGUAUAGGGAUAAACCUACUCUCGUGAGGGUUGCUGAAGGUACUAAACGAAUAAGCACCGGCUAACUCCGUGCCAGCAGCCGCCGUAACAC
rnacentral:rRNA from 1 species